GCCGGGCAUGGUGGCGCAUGCCUGUAAUCCCAGCUACUUGGGAGGCUGAGGCAUGAGAAUUGCUUGAACCUGGGAGGUGGAGGUUGCAGUGAGCCGAGAUUGUGCCAUUGCACUCCAGCCUGGGCAACAAGAGCAAAACUCCAUCUCAAACAAACAAAAACAAAAAAAGAAAGGAAAAUAAUAAUUUUUUUUUUUUUUUGAGACCGAGUCUCGCUCUGUGGCCCAGGCUGGAGUGCAGUAGCCGGAUCUCGGCUCACUGCAAGCUCCGCCUCCCGGGUUCACGCCAUUCUCCUGCCUCAG
rnacentral:SRP_RNA from 1 species